rnacentral:rRNA from 1 species
GAUGAACGCUGGCGGCGUGCCUAAUACAUGCAAGUCGAGCGAAGCGGGGACGGGUGAGUAACACGUGGAUAACCCCCUAUAAGACUGGGAUAACUUCGGGAAACCGGAGCUAAAACGGAUACUUAUAGCUGGAUCCGCGCUGGAUUAGCGAGUUGGUAAGGUAACGGUUUACCAAGGCCACGAUGCAUAGCCGACCGGAGCGGGUGAUCUGCCACACUGGAGCUGGGACACGGUCCAGGCUCCUACGGGAGGCAGCAGUAGGGAAUCUUCCGCAAUGGGCGAAAGCCUGACGGAGCAACGCCGCGUGAGUGAUGAAGGUCUUCGGAUCGUAAAACUCUGUUAUUAGGUAAGCGGUACCUAAUCAGAAAGCCACGGCUAACUACGUGCCAGCCGCCGCGGUAAUUC